GAUGUGUACUCAAGGCUUGCACUUUCCCUGAGAACCUUCUGCUGACCCUCCCCCAAAACAUGGUCCUGGAUUCAUCCCACCUUCCCUCCGUCUCAUAACUGAAGCUCCUAUACUGAAAACCUCAUUACCUGAAGAGAUUUGGAUGGGCAAUGGAGUCAGUCUUGGGAGGUACACAUCCCUGUCCAUUGACUGGAGGAAGUCUAGGAUCAGGCUUUUCAGCAGACAAGAGCAAUAAGCACCCUGCUGCUUCUGUGUUACCACUUCUCGCAAGACACAGAAUAUCAAUAAGGACACCUGCCUCGUAAGUGCCGUAGUGAGGAAGGAACUAUGGCUGCUUUAUGUGAAGUACACCAAGUUAGAAGUGGUUCAUCCCAGUGGCUGGUGGCAAUCCCAGCAACAUGUUACCGGGUGACGCUUUUUAAAAAUGAGCUUCCAACUACUUUUCGCGAACGACUUCAUGGCACAUUUCACAAACAUGUUGAUCCUCGUGUCCUGGCAAAAUUCCAGUUUGGGUAAUUGCAUCUGCAUUGGGUAAUUACGUCUGCAUAAGCUCAGCUAGAGAUAUCAUCCAGAGCACAGGAAGAAUCCUGCACACAAGCUGCUGACCUCAACUUUAAAAAGAGACCCUGAAGUUUGUGUAUUGUUAAAUGGUAUUGUAAUUUUUAACCCAAGGGUGGUAAAAUCAGGGUGACUGUGUUGCUGCCUGCUUACAGUAUGCUAAUCAGUUGAAGUUUGCGGAGUACUUUUACAUCCUUCAGGGUAAACAGUCACAUAAAUGUAUGCUACUUCCCAAUGAAAAGAGUAGGGUGCAUAUACUAGGGAAAGUAAAGAAAAAAGAAGUGGGAAAGGUUAAAGCUAUAGAAGAGCGAAAGAGAGAGAGACUGACUGAAAGAAAAAUAGCAAGGAAGAAAAAUUCAUUGCACACAUUCAAUGUCACAUCCAAGCUACUACAAAUAGUCUGUGAUAUUAUUAUUACAAGAAAAUAUUAAAAAUUGACUGAAGGCUCACAUAAAAUAUAGUUUUCCUAUUUUAUUUUAAGGCUGUUAAUAUACUACUAUACAUUGCACUUAAAAUACAGAAGCAGAACUUUGCUUGCUAUUAUUCAAAUACAAGUAAUGCUUGAUGGCUAUUGUGAAGUUCCAGUAUGUAUCCUUAUAUAAGGUGCCAUUUGAAUGCACAAGACCUCACUGAAGUUCAGUCCAGCUGACACUGAGAUUUUCUUAAAGUAUUUGUAAAAAUAGCGGGUUGUGAACACAUUUAUUGAUAUUAUUGUGGAGGAAAUGCGCUUAUCUAUGAAACACUAAGAGUUUGCUUGUAAAUAGCUAAUUGUAUAUUCACAACUGGCAUCAUCAAUAGAAAAGACACAUUUUGGCCAGUAGAACUGGUACUGCUCUGAUUGCUGUCAAUUUAAUUCAUGGAUCACUGACAUGCCGAUGUACAAUUAUGUUAGCAAAGGGAGCUUAGGGAAUGCAGAAGUAAUGAAUUCUGAAAGAGAUUUGUUUAAAAAACAGUGUGUAUUGUAUAGGACACUUUUUUGGGAGGACUGCUGAAGAACAGGACUGUGGAAAGAGGAUAACUUGGUAAAAUACGUUUUUGAUGCAUGAUUAUUUGUCAGUUAUUGCAAUGUCAGAACCAGGCAU